GCCCAGCUAGCUCAGUGGGUAGAGCGUGAGACUGUUAAUCUCAGGGUCGUAGGCUCGGGCCUCACGUUGGGCA
rfam:Mesocricetus auratus contig082309, whole genome shotgun sequence.